AUUGAACGCUGGCGGCAUGCCUAACACAUGCAAGUCGAACGGCAGCACGGGAGCUUGCUCCUGGUGGCGAGUGGCGGACGGGUGAGUAAUGCAUAGGAAUCUGCCCAGUAGCGGGGGACAACUUGGGGAAACUCAAGCUAAUACCGCAUGCGCCCUACGGGGGAAAGCGGGGGACCUUCGGGCCUCGCACUAUUGGAUGAGCCUAUGUCAGAUUAGCUUGUUGGUGGGGUAACGGCCUACCAAGGCGACGAUCUGUAGCGGGUCUGAGAGGACGAUCAGCCACACUGGGACUGAGACACGGCCCAGACUCCUACGGGAGGCAGCAGUGGGGAAUAUUGCACAAUGGGCGAAAGCCUGAUGCAGCAAUGCCGCGUGUGUGAAGAAGGCCUGCAGGUUGUAAAGCACUUUCAGUAGGGAGGAAACAGUAGCCGGUUAAUAUCCGGUUGCCUUGACGUUACCUACAGAAGAAGCACCGGCUAACUCUGUG
rnacentral:rRNA from 1 species